AUUGAACGCUGGCGGCAGGCCUAACACAUGCAAGUCGAGCGAGUGGCGGACGGGUGAGUAAUGUCUGGGAAACUGCCUGAUGGAGGGGGAUAACUACUGGAAACGGUAGCUAAUACCGCAUACCCUCAGAUGUGCCCCGAUGGGAUUAGCUGGUAGGUGGGGGAUCGGCUCACCUAGGCGACAAUCCCUAGCUGGUCUGAGAGGAUGACCAGCCACACUGGAACUGAGACACGGUCCAGACUCCUACGGGAGGCAGCAGGGGGGAAUAUGGCACAAUGGGCGCAAGCCUGAUGCAGCCAUGCCGCGUGUGUGAAGAAGGCCUUCGGGUUGUAGAGCACUUUCAGCGUGGAGGCGUUACCCGCAGAAGAAGCACCGGCUAACUCCGUGCCAGCAGCCGCGGUAAUUC
rnacentral:rRNA from 1 species